GACGAACGCUGGCGGCGUGCUUAACACAUGCAAGUCGAACGGAAAGGCCCUGCUUUUGUGGGGUGCUCGAGUGGCGAACGGGUGAGUAACACGUGAGUAACCUGCCCUUGACGUUGGGAUAACUUCAGGAAACUGGGGCUAAUACCGGAUAGGAGCUCCUGCUGCAUGGUGGGGGUUGGAAAGUUUCGGCGGUUGGGGAUGGACUCGCGGCUUAUCAGCUUGUUGGUGGGGUAGUGGCUUACCAAGGCUUUGACGGGUAGCCGGCCUGAGAGGGUGACCGGCCACAUUGGGACUGAGAUACGGCCCAGACUCCUACGGGAGGCAGCAGUAGGGAAUAUUGCACAAUGGGCGGAAGCCUGAUGCAGCAACGCCGCGUGCGGGAUGACGGCCUUCGGGUUGUAAACCGCUUUCGCCUGUGACGAAGCGUGAGUGACGGUAAUGGGUAAAGAAGCACCGGCUAACUACGUG
rnacentral:rRNA from 1 species